AAAAGCCCAAAUGUCGCAUUCUAUGUAGCCAACUGACCAAUUGCAUCAUAUUCAUUGUCCACUCAGACAUCAUC